GAACAUAAGGAGAGAAAAACAAAAGAAAAAGAGAGGGACAUGGACUAGGGCCACGACCAAGAGAAGAAGAAAGAAGAAGAAAACAUAAAGGAGGCUACGACCAUUAGAAGGGCGGGAAGAAAGGAGGAAAGCAAGCAAAGGAAGAAGCAAGGAGACCCUUCGGCUAUCCUAGGACGUGGGCCUGAAGAGGGAUACUAGCCUUGUUGAAUAGUCUCAGAUUGGUUAAAGACCCGGUUAGGAAAGCUAGGUGCACCAUCUUGGUAAGGUGUAGGUUGAGGUCAGCCCCCGCUAAUCGACCUGGUUGUAACUGAUGCCACUCCACCCAUUAAGUGAGCAUUAAUGGAAUCCUUGGGCUUGCAAGCUAGAGGAAGGGACGUAGGCAUAGUUGGCCGAACCCCGAUAACAUAUCGUGCGUGUUCUUUAUAUUUCUGUAAAUUUAUUUUUCGCACUUUUAUUUUCAGCACAUGUAUGCUGUAUGUUUGAUUCAUUAUAUGUAGUACAUGUGUUGAUUGGGUUUAUAAUUGCAUAGACAAA